AGCCAUCACUGCCCACCCAUGGGGAAGAAGAGGGCAGUGUGGGGGAAUACAGGAUGCGUGGAGGAGCCCCCUCCUACAAUGGCCCCACUACGGCCAUGCUCUCCACCCCUCUACCCAGGCAUGGCCCCCACCAUCUACCCAGCACAAAGUCACUUCUCCUGUCUAAACUCUGGACCCCCCCUAAUUCCCAUUCCCACUCCAAACCCCCUUAUAUAAGCUGCCACAUCCUCCUGCCUCUGGGCAGAUCCUACUAGGGCUAAGGCUCCUUCAGACUAAAAACAGAUGCAGCCUCCA
rnacentral:lncRNA from 1 species